rnacentral:rRNA from 14 species
CCUGGCGGCCGUAGCGCGGUGGUCCCACCUGACCCCAUGCCGAACUCAGAAGUGAAACGCCGUAGCGCCGAUGGUAGUGUGGGGUCUCCCCAU